rnacentral:piRNA from 1 species
GCAGCUCCUGAAUGUUCCGGAUGAGC